GGGUGUAAAGAAAAUCGGAGCCAUGACUGUUUACUAAAACACAGUUCAUGCAUCAUUAAUAUGGUAGUAUAAUGAAUGAUGCUUGCCCAAUGCCAUUAAUAUAAGAAGAUCAUGUGAAAGUGAUUACUCGAAUUCUGGUAUAGCGGUCUUACCAUGAGGAUCCUAAGGUAGCGUAAUAAGUUGGCUAUUAAAUGUAGUCUGGAUAUCAAUAGUUUAACAAUGGCCUCACUGUCUACUACAACUUGCUCAGUGAAAUUGAAUUAGCC
rnacentral:rRNA from 1 species